rnacentral:rRNA from 1 species
GCAUAUCAAUAAGCGGAGGAAAAGAAACUAACAAGGAUUCCCCUAGUAACUGCGAGUGAAGCGGGAAGAGCUCAAAUUUUAAAUCUGGCGGUCCUCGUGGUCGUCCGAGUUGUAAUCUAGAGAAGCGUUUUCCGCGCUGGACCGUGUACAAGUCUCCUGGAACGGAGCGUCAUAGAGGGUGAGAAUCCCGUCUCUGACACGGACUACCAGGGCUUUUGUGAUGCGCUCUCGACGAGUCGAGUUGUUUGGGAAUGCAGCUCAAAUUGGGUGGUAAAUUCCAUCUAAAGCUAAAUAUAGGCGAGAGACCGAUAGCGAACAAGUACCGUGAGGGAAAGAUGAAAAGAACUUUGGAAAGAGAGUUAAACAGUACGUGAAAUYGCUGAAAGGGAAACGCUUGAAGUCAGUCGCGUUGGCCGGGGAUCAGCCUUGCAAUCUUGUUGGGUGCAUUUCCUGGUUGACGGGUCAGCAUCAAUUUUGACCGUCGGAGAAGGGUUGAGGGAAUGUGGCAUCCUUCGGGGUGUGUUAUAGCCUUUGAUCGUAUGCGACGGUUGGGAUUGAGGAACUCAGCAUGACCCCUCGUGGGUUUGGGGCUUCGGCUCACAUCCAUGCUUAGGAUGCUGGCAUAAUGGCUUUAAGCGACCCGUCUUGAAACACGGACC